rnacentral:rRNA from 1 species
UACGGAGGGGGGCUAGCGUUGUUCGGAAUUACUGGGGCGUAAAGCGCACGUAGGCGGCUUUGUAAGUUAGAGGUGAAAGCCCGGGGCUCAACUCCGGAAUUGCCUUUAAGACUGCAUCGCUAGAAUUGUGGAGAGGUAAGUGGAAUUCCGAGUGUAGAGGUGAAAUUCGUAGAUAUUCGGAAGAACACCAGUGGCGAAGGCGACUUACUGGACACAUAUUGACGCUGAGGUGCGAAAGCGUGGGGAGCAAACGGGG